UACGUAGGGUGCGAGCGUUAAUCGGAAUUACUGGGCGUAAAGCGUGCGCAGGCGGUUCGUUGUGUCGGCGGUGAAAGCCCCGGGCUUAACCUGGGAAUGGCCGUUGAAACUGGCGAACUGGAGUGUGGCAGAGGGGGGUGGAAUUCCGCGUGUAGCAGUGAAAUGCGUAGAUAUCAAGAGGAACACCAGUGGCGAAGGCGAGUCCCUGGACGAUACCUGACACUGAGGCACGAAAGCUAGGGGAGCAAACAGG
rnacentral:rRNA from 1 species